UACGGAGGGUGCAAGCGUUAUCCGGAUUCACUGGGCUUAAAGGGUGCGUAGGUGGGUUGGUAAGUCAGUGGUGAAAUCCCCGAGCUUAACUUGGGAACUGCCAUUGAUACUAUCAGUCUUGAAUACCGUGGAGGUCAGCGGAAUAUGUCAUGUAGCGGUGAAAUGCUUAGAUAUGACAUAGAACACCAAUUGCGAAGGCAGCUGGCUACUCGGAUAUUGACACUGAGGCACGAAAGCGUGGGGAUCAAACAGG
rnacentral:rRNA from 1 species